UGGGGAAUAUUGCACAAUGGGCGCAAGCCUGAUGCAGCAACGCCGCGUGCGGGAUGACGGCCUUCGGGUUGUAAACCGCUUUCAGCAGGGACGAAGGAGUUUUUUGACGGUACCUGCAGAAGAAGCACCGGCUAACUACGUGCCAGCAGCCGCGGUGAUACGUAGGGUGCGAGCGUUGUCCGGAAUUAUUGGGCGUAAAGAGCUUGUAGGCGGUUUGUUGCGUCGGAAGUGAAAACUCAGGGCUUAACUCUGAGCUUGCUUUCGAUACGGGCAGACUAGAGGAAGGUAGGGGAGAAUGGAAUUCCUGGUGGAGCGGUGGAAUGCGCAGAUAUCAGGAGGAACACCGGUGGCGAAGGCGGUUCUCUGGACCUUUCCUGACGCUGAGAAGCGAAAGCGUGGGGAGCAAACAGG
rnacentral:rRNA from 1 species